AAGAGCGGAGUGACGAGAGAUUGUCACGCUCCGUUCCGGGGGAGCCCGGGGGUGAAACUCCCCCGGGCGACCCGAC
rnacentral:ncRNA from 1 species